rnacentral:rRNA from 1 species
AACGCGAAGAACCUUACCUGGGCUUGAACUGUGUUUGACCGAGAAUGAAAGUUCUCUUUCGCAAGACAAAUACAGAGGUGCUGCAUGGCUGUCGUCAGCUCGUGCCGUGAGGUGUUUGGUUAAGUCCAGCAACGAGCGCAACCCUUAUCGUUAGUUGCCAGCGGGUAAUGCCGGGAACUCUAACGAGACUGCCUGGGUCAACCAGGAGGAAGGUGAGGAUGACGUCAAGUCCGCAUGGCCUUUAUGUCCAGGGCCACACACGUGCUACAAUGGUCGGUACAAAGGGUUGCCAAGCCGCGAGGCGGAGCUAAUCCCAUAAAACCGAUCUCAGUUCGGAUUGCAGUCUGCAACUCGGCUGCAUGAAGUUGGAAUUGCUAGUAAUGGCGUGUCAGCUACAACGCCGUGAAUACGUUCCCGGGCCUUGUA